rnacentral:tRNA from 1 species
GCGGGAGUGGCGGAACUGGCAGACGCGCUGGACUUAGGAUCCAGUGUCCUUGUGACGUGAGGGUUCGACUCCCUCCUCCCGCACCA